rnacentral:rRNA from 1 species
AACGAACGCUGGCGGCGUGGAUAAGACAUGCAAGUCGAACGCUAAUUUCAGGGUAGCAAUAUUCUGAAGUUGGAGUGGCGCAAGGGUGCGUAACACGUGGGUAAUUUGCCGUGAAGCUCGGAAUAACUCGCUGAAAGGCGAGCUAAUGCCGGAUGUGAUGUUUGGGAGGCAUCUCCUAAACCUUAAAGCUGGGGACCGUAAGGCCUGGCACUUCACGAUAAGCCCGCGGCCUAUCAGCUAGUUGGUGAGGUAACGGCUCACCAAGGCUAAGACGGGUAGCUGGUCUGAGAGGACGACCAGCCACACUGGAACUGAGACACGGUCCAGACACCUACGGGUGGCAGCAGUCGAGAAUUUUUCACAAUGGGCGAAAGCCUGAUGGAGCGACGCCGCGUGGGGGAUGAAUGGCUUCGGCCCGUAAACCCCUGUCAUUUGCGAACAAACCUCGUAAUUUAAAGAUGACGAGCUGAUUGUAGCGAAAGAGGAAGGGACGGCU